CCUACGGGAGACAGCAGUGGGGAAUAUUGGGCAAUGGGCGCAAGCCUGACCCAGCAACGCCGCGUGAAGGAAGAAGGCUUUCGGGUUGUAAACUUCUGUUGUCAGGGAAGAGUAGAAGACGGUACCUGACGAAUCAGCCACGGCUAACUACGUGCCAGCAGCCGCGGUAAUACGUAGGUGGCAAGCGUUAUCCGGAUUUACUGGGUGUAAAGGGCGUGUAGCCGGGUUGACAAGUCAGAUGUGAAAUCCUGCGGCUUAACCGCAGAACUGCAUUUGAAACUGUUGAUCUUGAGUACUGGAGAGGCAGACGGAAUUCCUAGUGUAGCGGUGAAAUGCGUAGAUAUUAGGAGGAACACCAGUGGCGAAGGCGGUCUGCUGGACAGCAACUGACGGUGAGGCGCGAAAGCGUGGGGAGCAAACAGGAUUAGAUACCCGAGUAGUC
rnacentral:rRNA from 1 species